GACGAACGCUGGCGGCGUGCUUAACACAUGCAAGUCGUACGACAGCGCAGCUUUCGGGUUGUGUAUGGAGUGGCGAACGGGUGAGUAACACGUGAGUAACCUGCCCUCUUCUUUGGGAUAACGUGCGGAAACGUGCGCUAAUACUGAAUAUUCUCGCGGCACUGCAUGGUGUGGUGGGGAAAGGUCUUUUGAUCGGUGGGGGAUGGGCUCGCGGCCUAUCAGUUUGUUGGUGGGGUGAUGGCCUACCAAGGCGU
rnacentral:rRNA from 1 species